rnacentral:lncRNA from 1 species
GUCAGAGCACCCUGAGGACCUUCCCAGGUGCCCCCCCAGCACACAGCAAGGGCACAGCCAUUCUCCCCAGAGCUCUGGAACCAGAUGCAGACAGGGAAUGGGUCCAAGCAGAGCAUGGUUAAACGUGAAAUAGUGAACAGCAGUGUGGUUGUGCUUUUUAAAUUCAUCUCUGCUCAGGAAAUGCUCAGACCUCAUGCAUGAUAUUGGAGAGAUUCGUGCUGCUGAUCCUUCCUGUCUGUGCGAAGUGCUGGUGCCCUCUAGUGCUCUCUGCCUGCCGACACCGCACCUGAAUUUAGAGAUUUGCCUGGAAGCAGCUCCCCCUGGCUAAAUCCCACAGGCUAGAAGCACAGGAAUCAUGACAAGAAAUAAGUCCUUACUAGUUAAUAAAAAUUUAGUAAAACUUAGUACCUCUGAAUUC